CAGUCGCCGCGGGAAUACGUAGGUGGCAAGCGUUGUCCGGAAUUAUUGGGCGUAAAGGGCUCGCAGGCGGUUUCUUAAGUCUGAUGUGAAAGCCCCCGGCUCAACCGGGGAGGGUCAUUGGAAACUGGGAAACUUGAGUGCAGAAGAGGAGAGUGGAAUUCCACGUGUAGCGGUGAAAUGCGUAGAGAUGUGGAGGAACACAGUGGCGAAGGCGACUCUCUGGUCUGUAACUGACGCUGAGGAGCGAAAGCGUGGGGAGCGAACAGGAUUAGAUACCCCAGUAGUCCCUGUCUCUUAUACA
rnacentral:rRNA from 1 species